CAACAAAGGCAAAAGGGAUAAGAAGUCUUAUACGAUAAACUGAAGCAGAACGCUACGAAACAGAGGCAGAGACUCACGCAGUCAACAAAAAAAAUCUAAGGUUCUUUACAAAUCACUUAUUUUUGAAUUCAGAAUCGAUUAUUUGACUGGUGUCAAUUGGACUGGGGUCUACGUAUUUGCUCGAGAAGUUUUGAGGAACCGGUUUUGCAGGCGAGCAGGCUACGUGUUA